rnacentral:rRNA from 1 species
AUUUUUAUUUAUCUUAGUGGCGGACGGGUGAGUAACGUGUGGGCAACCUGCCCUAUACUGGGGAAUAAUCACUGGAAACGGUGACUAAUACCGCAUGUCAUUACGGAAGGGCAUCCUUCUGUAAGAAAAGGAGUAAUUCGGUAUAGGAUGGGCCCGCAUCUGAUUAGCUAGUUGGUGAGAUAACAGCCCACCAAGGCGACGAUCAGUAGCCGACCUGAGAGGGUGAUCGGCCACAUUGGGACUGAGACACGGCCCAAACUCCUACGGGAGGCAGCAGUGGGGAAUAUUGCACAAUGGGGGAAACCCUGAUGCAGCAACGCCGCGUGAAGGAAGAAGGUUUUCGGAUCGUAAACUUCUAUCAACAGGGACGAAGAAAGUGACGGUACCUGAAUAAGAAGCCCCGGCUAACUACGUGCCAGCAGCCGCGGUAAUACGUAGGGGGCAAGCGUUAUCCGGAAUUACUGGGUGUAAAGGGAGCGUAGGCGGCACGCCAAGCCAGAUGUGAAAGCCCGAGGCUUAACCUCGCGGAUUGCAUUUGGAACUGGCGAGCUAGAGUACAGGAGAGGAAAGCGGAAUUCCUAGUGUAGCGGUGAAAUGCGUAGAUAUUAGGAAGAACACCAGUGGCGAAGGCGGCUUUCUGGACUGAAACUGA